UACGAAGGUCCCGAGCGUUGUUCGGAAUCACUGGGCGUAAAGGGUGCGUAGGCGGCGCGGUAAGUCAGAUGUGAAAUCCCGGGGCUCAACCCCGGAACUGCAUCCGAUACUGCCGUGCUAGAGGAUUGGAGAGGUAGCUGGAAUUCUUGGUGUAGCAGUGAAAUGCGUGGAUAUCAAGAGGAACACUCGUGGCGAAAGCGAGCUACUGGACAACUCCUGACGCUGAGGCUCGAAGGCCAGGGUAGCGAAAGGG
rnacentral:rRNA from 1 species